GCUUGGAUAGCUCAGUUGGUUAGAGCAUGAUGCUGAUAAUGCCAAAGUUGCAGGUUUGAUCCUUGCAUGGGACA
rnacentral:tRNA from 1 species